rnacentral:rRNA from 1 species
AUUGAACGCUGGCGGCAUGCCUUACACAUGCAAGUCGAACGGCAGCGCGGGAGCAAUCCUGGCGGCGAGUGGCGAACGGGUGAGUAAUAUAUCGGAACGUGCCCAGUAGUGGGGGAUAGCCCGGCGAAAGCCGGAUUAAUACCGCAUACGACCUACGGGUGAAAGGGGGGGAUCGCAAGACCUCUCGCUAUGGGAGCGGCCGAUAUCAGAUUAGGUAGUUGGUGGGGUAAAGGCCUACCAAGCCUGCGAUCUGUAGUUGGUCUGAGAGGACGACCAGCCACACUGGGACUGAGACACGGCCCAGACUCCUACGGGAGGCAGCAGUGGGGAAUUUUGGACAAUGGGCGCAAGCCUGAUCCAGCAAUGCCGCGUGCAGGAAGAAGGCCUUCGGGUUGUAAACUGCUUUUGUCAGGGAAGAAAUCCUCUGGGUUAAUACCUCGGGGGGAUGACGGUACCUGAAGAAUAAACACCGGCUAACUACGUGCCAGCCGCCGCGGUAAGAC